UGCACAGGAAACUUCCUGAGCCACAAAAGAAACUCAAAAUCACUCAGCUAUCCCUGCAAGCCAAACCUGGACUGGGUAGAGAGGCCUGGUAAUACGUGCCCGGGGGUGGCAGCUAAGCAUGAAGCAUUAAAUCACAAGGCUGAGCCCAGUGGUACAGAGGACUGAAACUGCUGACAGGGCUGAGGCACUUUGGACCCAUGGCGUACUGGAGUUACUGGGAUCUCGAGAACCUCCUGAAGGAGAUCUCCAUACAAGGUGACAUGAUUUACUCCUGCUCAUUUCUGGCGGAGGUAAAUUAUAAGGAGGUAUAAGAGGGCGGAAAAAGAAAUGAAGACAGCUGAGUCAUUCUAAGAAGAAAGCAUGCAUUUUUCUUUCUGGUGCAAACCAGUUGACUUGAGUGUCACUUUCAGAGUUCACUUGCUCCUUGAAGGCACAAUGAACCAAAGGACAGCAGCUGAUUACACAACCUCUCCAGUCCCUAAUAAUCAUGUGCAUCCAGCAGGAGGAAUUGUCUCUCCACCUUGCAGACAAGACAUGCUAACAGUGUAAUAGUUUUAAUUUGUCCUUGUCCACACUGACCACUGAGUCAUGUUGACUGACAUGACUCCCUGGCAUUGUAUUCUGGCACUGCGAAUGAAGGCAAAGCCGUAGCCCUUUGGGACUGGGACUCAUUUGCUAAAUGUUGGCAUAGAACCUGGCACAACUGUGCUCCAACAUGGUUUAACUUCAGGUGCUACCACAAAAUAAAUAACAA